rnacentral:rRNA from 1 species
ACGAACGCUGGCGGCGCGCCUAAUACAUGCAAGUCGAGCGAGAAGGUUGUAGCAAUACACUUGUAAAGCGGCGACGGGGGAGGAAUACAUGGGUAACCUACCCUCGAGUGGGGGAAUAACUAGCCGAAAGGUUAGCUAAUACCGCUACGAUUCCCGGACUGCGGUUUUGGGAAGGAAAGCGAUACCGUGGGUAUCGCGCUCUGGAUGGGCUCAUGUCCUAUCAGCUUGUUGGUGAGUGAGGUAACGGCUCACCAAGGCUUCGACGGGUAGCUGGUCUGAGAGGACGAUCAGCCACACUGGCACCUGCGACACGGGCCAGACUCCUACGGGAGGCAGCAGUAAGGAAUAUUGCGCAAUGGGCGACAGCCUGACGCAGCGACGCCGCGUGGGGGAUGAAGGUCUUCGGAUUGUAAACCCCUUUCGGGGGGGAAGAUGGGGACGGGCAACCGUUCGGACGGUACCUCCAGAAGCAGCCACGGCUAACUUCGUGCCAGCAGCCGCGGUAAUACGAAGGUGGCAGGCGUUGUUCGGAUUCACUGGGCCUGUACAGGGAGCGUAGGCGGUUGGGUAAGCCCAUCCGUGAAUCUCCGGGCCUAACCCGGAAAGUGCAGAGGGGACUGCUUGGCUAGAGGAUGGGAGAGGAGCGGCGGAAUUCUCGGUGUAGCGGGUGAAAUGCGUAGAGAUCGGGAGGAAAGGCCGGUGCGAAGGCGGCUCGCUCUGGAACAUUUCUGACGCUGAGGCUCGAAAGCGUGGGGGCAACAGGAAUUAGAUACCCCUGGUAUUCCACGCCUUAAACGAUGGAUACUAAGUGUCGGCGGGGUUGACCGCCGUGCCGCAGCUAACGCAGUAAGUAUCCGGCGCCUGGGAAGUACGGCCGCAAGGUUGAAACUCAAAGGAAUUGUACGGGGGCCCGCACAAGCGGUGGAGCAUGGUGUUCAAUUCGACGCAACGCGAAGAAACCUUACCCAGGCUGGACAUGCAGGGUAGUAGGAGGGGUGAAAAGCCUAACGAGGGGUAGCACUACCAGCCUGGCAUCAGGUGGGCAUGCAUGGCUGUCGGUCAGUCGUCGUGCCGUGAGGUGUUGUGGUUAAGUCCCGCAACGAGCGCAACCCCUGUCUUCAGUUACCAACCGGGUCAUGCACGGGGAACUCUGUGAGAGGACUGCCCAGGAGAACGGGGAGGAAGGUGGGGAUGACGUCAAGUCAGCAUGGCCUUUAUGGCCUGGGGCCACACACGUGUGCUACAAUGACCGGUACAAAGGGCUGCAAACCCGUAAGGGGGAGCCAAUCCCAAAAAAACCGGCCUCAGUUCAGAUUGAGGUCUGCAACUCGACCUCAUGAAGGCGGAAUCGCUAGUAAUCGCGGAUCAUGCACGCCGCGGUGAAUACCGUUCCCGGGCCUUGUACACACCGCCCGUCACACCACGAAAGUUUGUUUGUACCUGAAGUCGUUGACGCCAACCGCAAGGGGGCAGACGCCCACGGUAUGACCGAUGGAUUGGGGUG